CCUACGGUGGGCAGCAGUGGGGAAUAUUGGGCAAUGGAGGAAACUCUGACCCAGCAACGCCGCGUGAAUGAUGAAGGUCUUCGGAUUGGAAAGUUCUUUUCUAAGGGAAGAAGAAAGUGACGGUACCUUAGGAAUAAGCCUCGGCUAACUACGUGCCAGCAGCCGCGGUGAUACGUAGGAGGCGGGCGUUAUCCGGAAUGAAUGGGCGUAAAGGGUGCGUAGGUGGUUUGGCAAGUUAGUAGCGAAACUCCAAGGCUCAACCUUGGAACUACUACUAAAACUGUUGGACUUGAGUGCAGGAGGGGCAGCCGGAAUUCGUAGUGUAGCGGUGGAAUGCGUAGAUAUUAGGAGGAACCCCAGUGGCGAAGGCGGGUUGCUAGACUGCAACUGACACUGAGGCACGAAGGCGUGGGGAGCAAACAGGAUUAGAUACCCUUGUAGUC
rnacentral:rRNA from 1 species